UGCCAGACUCCUACGGGAGGCAGCAGUGAGGAAUAUUGGUCAAUGGGCGGGAGCCUGAACCAGCCAAGUCGCGUGAGGGAAGACGGUCCUACGGAUUGUAAACCUCUUUUGCCGGGGAGCAACGGGGUCCUUGCGAGGGCCCGAUGAGAGUACCCGGAGAAAAAGCAUCGGCUAACUCCGUGCCAGCAGCCGCGGUAAUACGGAGGAUGCGAGCGUUAUCCGGAUUUAUUGGGUUUAAAGGGUGCGCAGGCGGAAGAUCAAGUCAGCGGUAAAAUUGAGAGGCUCAACCUCUGCGAGCCGUUGAAACUGGCGUUCUUGAGUGGGCGAGAAGUAUGCGGAAUGCGUGGUGUAGCGGUGAAAUGCAUAGAUAUCACGCAGAACUCCGAUUGCGAAGGCAGCAUACCGGCGCCCAACUGACGCUGAGGCACGAAAGCGUGGGUAUCGAACAGGAUUAGAUACCCUAGUAC
rnacentral:rRNA from 1 species